GAUGAACGCUGGCGGCGUGCCUAAUACAUGCAAGUCGAGCGAACGGACGAUAAUCUUGCUUCUCUGAUGUGAGCGGCGGACGUGUGAGUAACACGUGGAUAACCUACCUAUAAUACUGGGAUAACUUCGGGAAACCGGAGCUAAUACCGUAUAAUAUUUUGAACCGCAUUGUUCAAAGGUGAAAGACGGUCUUUCUGGCACUUAUAGAUGGAUCCGCGCUGCAUUAGCUAGUUGUUAAGGUAACGGCUUACCAAGGCAACGAUGCAUAGCCGACCUGAGAGAGGGAUAGGCGACACUGGAACGGGGCCAGCGACAAGACGACUACGGGACGCAGCAGUAGGCAACCGUACGCAACAGGCGAGAGCAUGACGGAGUAACGGCGAGCCAGAUAUGAAGGUCUUCGGAGCGUAAAAAUCUCUUAUUAGGGAAGAACAUAUGUCGAAGUAAAUGUGGAGAUAGUGACGGUAACUAAUAAGAAAGCAACGGCUAACUACGUG
rnacentral:rRNA from 1 species